CCAGUCAGUGGUAAGGCUGCAUUGGUCUUUCGCUCUGCACAACAAAGGGCAAACUGCCUGCCUGCAACACGGACUCCAGUUUACUUCUUGUCGAGCAAAGCUGAAAAGACUCGCUCAGCCCAGCCAGGAGACGCCAUUUGUCGUGGAAAUUAGACAACACACGCAGACUUUUCCUGUGAAGGACUCUCUGGCUGAAGCUGAGCAGGCGAUGGAGACCAACAAUCAGCUGGAGAAUAUGGAGACCAACACUCAGGUAGGAGAUAUUAAUUUAAAUAACUCCUACCUGAUGUCCAAAGUGAACACACUGGAAGACUGUGUGCAGCUGUUGGACGAAGAGCUUGCUCAGACCCGGAUGAGGUGUAAUGAGAUAAUGAUGGAGCUGGAGCAAGAGCAGGAGGCUCACAGAAUCCUGGAGUCCCACUGCGAAGAGAUGAAGACAACUUUAAAAACGUGUGACGAGUUACUCAAGGUGUGCGAGGGAGAGGUGAAGGAUCACAGUAUCCUAAAGGUAUCUCUGGCAGAGGUUGAGAGGAAAUACAAGCAGGCAAUGGAGUCCAAUGCUCAUCUGGAGAAUGAGACCUUUGACCUGAUGUCCAAGAUGGGCAUACUGCAAAACUCCAUGCAGGAAAUGACAAAUAAGUGUGCUGAGGCAACAAAGAAUUACGAGAAAACAAAGCGUAUUCUUGAGUACGUGUUGGCCACUGCCAAUGAGCGGGAGAAAACUUUAAAUCUGGAAAUAGACUUACUUCAGGCUUCUCUGGCUGAAGCUGAGAGGCAUUAUGAAUUUUUGGUAACAGACUACUAUGAGUCAGUUGACACACAGAAUAACUUGAGAGCUGAGCUGAGCACUCUGCACGGAAAAGUGGGUGAUCUGCAGGGAGCGCUCAGAACAGUAACAAGGGAGUGUGAGCAAUUGAGAAGCAUGAGGGACAAAUUGAGUUUAAUGAGUACAACUAUACUAAAAGACCAUGAGUUAGAACUUCAAGCACACGGUACACUGAAGGAACAGCACGUUGAGUUACUAACGGAGCGUAAACGAGAGCAGGCCUGUCUGGCUGAAGCGGAGAGGAAAUACAAAGAAGUCAUGGAGUCCAAUGCUCAGUUGGAGAAAGAGAAGUCUGACCUGCAGUCCCAGGUGAACACGCUGCAAGGCUCAGUGCAGCAGCUGAAGGAAGAGCACUCUGAGACACGCAUGAAGUGUGAUGAAAUGCCGGUCUCUCUGGCUGCAGCUGACAAGCUGCAGGAGGAAGCGAUGCAGUCCAAGGCUAAGAUGAAGAAUGAAAUAUUGGACCUGAAGUACCAUUUGCACACACUGCGAGACUCAGUGCGGGAGCUGGAGAUAAUGCUCUCUGAUGGAGAGAUGCACUGCGACGCUAUAAAGCAGAUGUCUGGAAAGAACACGAAAACCCGUGGUAGCAUUCAGACACGACUGAGACCUAGUGUGCGUGCCGUGAGCGAGUCCCCUUCUCCCCCUGAAUCCGCGUCCCCGAGCAGUGACCCUGACUCUGCCGCACUCAAGCUUGAGUUGCUGGCUUCACUGAGGAAGGACAUUGCCGAUAUUUUUAAAAAGGAGUUUCAGGCCAUGUUCAGGGAUGCGCUGUCUACUAUCCAGCUUGACCUGCAGGCCGUGAAAACACAGCAGGCUGGUGAUAAAGUCGCUACCGAGGCUAACAUAUCAACACUGAAAGGUACUGUUGGGGAAAUGGGGCACGCUCUCUCCGGUUGCACCGAUGACAUAGUUCAUAUGAAGACUACUAUCGAGCCUCUCACUGCAACCGUGACUCAAUUAGAGAAUAAAUGUGCGGAUUUGGAGUCGAGGUCACGGCGCAAUAACGUUAGGAUAGUGGGAGUUCCAGAGGGCCCUGACACCUGUACAACUGCUGCUGUAGCGGCCUUGUUAAAGGAGGCAUUUGGUCUGGAGAAGGAGCCGGUUUUGGACCGGUCCCACCGGACCCUUCAGCGGAAGCCCAAGCCUGGUGAACGACCACGAGCUAUUGUGUGCAGAUUCCACUAUCACAGUGACUGUGUUGAUAUUUUGCGCCGUGCGAGAGAGAUCCAACGGAUUAAAGUGAGGGAUUUGACCAUCUCCGUUUUCCCUGACUACACAGCCAAGACAGCCCGGGCCCGGGCCGCGUUUAACGAGGUUCGGCGUCAACUUCGUGGUAUUGAGGGAGCUCGCUAUGGAAUACUUCACCCGGCUCGGCUUCGCAUUACAUAUAACGGUGUUCAGCAGGAGCAGGAGACUAUGUUAAACUCUUGAUAUCGGGGUGAACUGCAUCACCUAUAUAGUGGAGUUUUUUUUCACUUUUAUUCUUUUUUUGCACUCGGCCUUCCAGCUGUACAGAAUUCGGAUUCUUAUUGAAGAUAUUGUCGGUUCAUUACUUCGUCUAGAUUUUGUGGACUCACUCCUCUUAAAUUUACUUCUGUAUUAAUGUGCUUCUCUGUUUUGAUGCUCUUACUGGGUUAGAGUUUAUUUCAUUUUAUUAGUGUUGUUUCCUCAUCUUUACGUGCCACACUGUGUUAUAUUAUUUGUUACAAGUCUUUAAAAGUUAAGGACAUCAUAUUUGUUAAAGUGCGCAGACUAUUUAUCAGUUUUGAAGUCAGUAGGGGACUUUUCUCUUACUGGAAUUUUUUUUGUUUAGGUAAUUUAGUUGCUUAGUUCGGUUUACUCUUUGAGUUGGUUUCACAUUGUGGACAACUUUUGGUGGGAAACACUGCUGUCUCCCUUUGUUUUAUGGAGACUUUGGGUGUGUUGGGGGGGAGGGGGGGUCCCACUCCGCCUGGGACAGGCACGCCUUUAAGAUUUAUUUGUUGGAACAUCAGAGGAAAUCCUGUCAAGAGAUAUAAGGUUUUUACAUAUUUGAAACGUCUUCCACUCAAACUUUAAUUUGAAAGUAGGAGGGGUCGCUAUUUUAACUGACAAAAAGGUUACAGUUUUCGUCCACUAAUGUUAUCGCUGAUGCGAACGGUAGAUAUAUUAUAGUUGCUGGUACUCUAAUGCAAAGACAGGUAUUGUAUACACUCCUAACUUAGAUUAAUUUUUUUUUAUUUAUUAAUUUUAAUUAUUUUAUUUAUUUAUUUAUUGUUGUUAUUAUUUUUUAUAAAUGGCAUCCCUUUACUGUAUACUUUAUGGAGUUACAGACACUUCCCGCUUAAAUUUUUGUGCCUGUUGUUGGGUUUUAUAAUAUUUAUAUAACCAGCGACAGUUAUUGAGUGGGGGGGGUACUUUUAAUUUUGUUUUCCUUUGUUUGUUUUUGUUUUUUUGUUAUUUUUUUUCUUCUCAGUGAAAUAUUUGGGAAAGGGAAGGUAGGAGAGAAGAGAAAAGGUAAAUGAAUCACAUGUAAAUGAAUCACAUGUAAAUAAAUCAUAUGAAAAUGAAUAAAUAAAUUAAAACGGGGGAAAAAAGACGCUAGAUGUUGUAUUGAAUGGAAGAGGCCCAUUGUAGACGCGAACAUUAAGCUCUCAAGGUUGCAACCUCUUCUGCACCAUGGCUGUGUUUUAGGAGUCAGAACAAGAGCGGGAGGCUUACCGUAUCCUGAAGAUGCAAUACAAAAAGAUGAAGGAAACUAUUCAGAGGUUCAGAGAGCUACUAAUGAUCUAUCACACAAAGCUUGGAUUCGAGGAGCCUCAGGGUCAAAGAUAAGUCCCGGAAUGCACGGCAAACUGUGUAGAGCCAUUCUGCAUGCUUCAUGCUGUCAGGGCUUGGACUCCACUCAGGUCAGCAGCGUGAGAAUCAGAUGCUCCAUCAGUGGGCCAUUGGAGAGGGGAUGAGCCCAAGUGCAGAGAUGAACUCAAAACGGGGUAAAAGUUGGGGUAAAAAACAAAAAACAAGAAACAAAUGUUAUCCACACAGUUCAGUCGGUAAAUCCAAAGAAUAAAUAAUCCAACAUAAAAUUCACAACACAAAAUUAUCCUCAAAGCAGUAAUCCAACAAAAAGA
ensembl:lncRNA